rnacentral:rRNA from 1 species
UACGUAGGGUGCAAGCGUUAAUCGGAAUUACUGGGCGUAAAGCGUGCGCAGGCGGUUGUGCAAGACAGAUGUGAAAGCCCCGGGCUCAACCUGGGAAUGUCAUUUGUGACUGCACGGCUAGAGUGUGUCAGAGGGGGGUAGAAUUCCACGUGUAGCAGUGAAAUGCGUAGAGAUGUGGAGGAAUACCGAUGGCGAAGGCAGCCCCCUGGGAUGACACUGACGCUCAUGCACGAAAGCGUGGGGAGCAAACAGG